rnacentral:piRNA from 1 species
UUCAAGCCAGGAAAGCACUGUAGCUCCCCCA